rnacentral:rRNA from 1 species
GAGUUUGAUCAUGGCUCAGAACGAACGCUGGCGGCAGGCUUAACACAUGCAAGUCGAGCGCCCCGCAAGGGGAGCGGCAGACGGGUGAGUAACGCGUGGGAAUCUACCUUUUGCUACGGAAUAACUCAGGGAAACUUGUGCUAAUACCGUAUGUGCCCUUUUGGGGAAAGAUUUAUCGGCAAAGGAUGAGCCCGCGUUGGAUUAGCUAGUUGGUGAGGUAAAGGCUCACCAAGGCGACGAUCCAUAGCUGGUCUGAGAGGAUGAUCAGCCACACUGGGACUGAGACACGGCCCAGACUCCUACGGGAGGCAGCAGUGGGGAAUAUUGGACAAUGGGCGCAAGCCUGAUCCAGCCAUGCCGCGUGAGUGAUGAAGGCCCUAGGGUUGUAAAGCUCUUUCACCGGUGAAGAUAAUGACGGUAACCGGAGAAGAAGCCCCGGCUAACUUCGUGCCAGCAGCCGCGGUUA